rnacentral:rRNA from 1 species
UACGGAGGGAGCUAGCGCUGUUCGGAAUUACUGGGCGUAAAGCGCACGUAGGCGGCUUUUUAAGUCAGGGGUGAAAUCCCGGGGCUCAACCUCGGAACUGCCCUUGAAACUGGGAAGCUAGAAUCUUGGAGAGGCGAGUGGAAUUUCGAGUGUAGAGGUGAAAUUCGUAGAUAUUCGGAAGAACACCAGUGGCGAAGGCGACUCGCUGGACAAGUAUUGACGCUGAGGUGUGAAAUCGUGGGGAGCAAACAGG